rnacentral:misc_RNA from 1 species
UCCGGUUUGUCACCGGCAGUCUCCCUAGAGUUCCCGGCCGAACCGCUGGCAACUAGGGACAAGGGUUGCGCUCGUUACGGGACUUAACCCAACAUCUCACGACACGAGCUGACGACAGCCAUGCAGCACCUGUCACUCGGUUCCCGAAGGCACUCCCGCAUCUCUGCGGGAUUCCGAGGAUGUCAAGACCAGGUAAGGUGGGGAUGACGUAGGAGGAAUUCCA